rnacentral:misc_RNA from 1 species
AAGUCGUAACAAGGUUUCCGUAGGUGAACCUGCGGAAGGAUCAUUACAGAGACGAGCUUCCGGGCUCGGGGGGCUCCGGCCCCGACUCCAUACCCUGUGAUUACUUACCUUUCUGUUGCUUUGGCAGGCCUUGGGAUCAAGCCCACGCCGGUUCUCCCGGCGUGAGCCUGCCAUUAGCCCCUUAUAACUCGCUUUAUCAGUGAUGUCCGAGUCUAAAGAUAAUAAUCAAAACUUUCAACAACGGAUCUCUUGGUUCUG